rnacentral:rRNA from 1 species
UAGAAGAUGACGAGCGGCGGACGGGUGAGUAAUACUUAGGAAUCUACCUAGUAGUGGGGGAUAGCUCGGGGAAACUCGAAUUAAUACCGCAUACGACCUACGGGAGAAAGGGGGCAACUUGUUGCUCUCGCUAUUAGAUGAGCCUAAGUCGGAUUAGCUAGAUGGUGGGGUAAAGGCCUACCAUGGCGACGAUCUGUAGCUGGUCUGAGAGGAUGAUCAGCCACACCGGGACUGAGACACGGCCCGGACUCCUACGGGAGGCAGCAGUGGGGAAUAUUGGACAAUGGGGGAAACCCUGAUCCAGCCAUGCCGCGUGUGUGAAGAAGGCCUUUUGGUUGUAAAGCACUUUAAGCAGUGAAGAAGACUCUUCGGUUAAUACCCGGAGACGAUGACAUUAGCUGCAGAAUAAGCACCGGCUAACUCUGUGCCAGCAGCCGCGGUAAUACAGAGGGUGCAAGCGUUAAUCGGAAUUACUGGGCGUAAAGCGAGCGUAGGUGGCUUGAUAAGUCAGAUGUGAAAUCCCCGGGCUUAACCUGGGAACUGCAUCUGAUACUGUCAGGCUAGAGUAGGUGAGAGGAAGGUAGAAUUCCAGGUGUAGCGGUGAAAUGCGUAGAGAUCUGGAGGAAUACCGAUGGCGAAGGCAGCCUUCUGGCAUCAUACUGACACUGAGGCUCGAAAGCGUGGGUAGCAAACAGGAUUAGAUACCCUGGUAGUCCACGCCGUAAACGAUGUCUACUAGUCGUUGGGUCCCUUGAGGACUUAGUGACGCAGCUAACGCAAUAAGUAGACCGCCUGGGGAG